AUUGAACGCUGGCGGCAGGCCUAACACAUGCAAGUCGAACGGUAACAGGAAGACGCUUGCUUCUUUGCUGACGAGUGGCGGACGGGUGAGUCAUGUCUGGGAAACUGCCUGAUGGAGGGGGAUAACUACUGGAAACGGUAGCUAAUACCGCAUAACGUCGCAAGACCAAAGAGGGGGACCUUCGGGCCUCUUGCCAUCGGAUGUGCCCAGAUGGGAUUAGCUAGUAGGUGGGGUACGGGUCACCUAGGCGACGAUCCCUAACUGGUCUGAGAGGCUUAACAGCCACACUGGAACUGAGACACGGUCCAGACUCCUACGGGAGGCAGCAGUGGGGAAUAUUGCACAAUGGGCGCAAGCCUGAUGCAGCCAUGCCGCGUGUAUGAAGAAGGCCUUCGGGUUGUAAAGUACUUUCAGCGGGGAGGAAGGGAGUAAAGUUAAUACCUUUGCUCAUUGACGUUACCCGCAGAAGAAGCACCGGCUAACUCCGUG
rnacentral:rRNA from 1 species